AUGCUGGGGACCCUCUGCACUCUCAUCACUGCUCUAACAUAUGUUGAUGCAGUGAUCGUGCUGACUCAGAUGCCUGCUGUCCACACAGUUUCUACAGGACAAGAGGUUGUUCUCAACUGCAAUGUUGAGAGGCAUUAUUCGAAUAGAUUCGGACAAGGAACCAAGCUGAUUGUGACAAGCUCCAGCCUCCCUCCUCCUGUCCUGACUGUCUUCCCUCCGACCAGUGCUGAGCUCCAGGCUGAUAAAUCCUCUCUGGCCUGUCUCGCUGUACUUCCCAGUGAGUCUAAGGGCCUGGCAGAAGUUACCUGGUUUGGUGACGGGUGUCCGGUGAGCAGUGGGAUCUCUACCAGCACCGCUGUUCAGCAACCAGACCAGACUUUCAAAAUCAGCAGCUAUCUGUCCAUUAAAUCCUCACAGUGGAUCAUGGACAAAGUCUUCACAUGUCAAGUGUCUCUGGGUUCCCAGACUUCAGAGAAAAACAUGACAAUGUCUGAAUGCCACAUUCAAUAGGUGAAUAAAUAUGUCAUAUUAUUAAAAGGCUUGUGCUAGUUUUAGAAAUAAACACAUUUUUAGGUUUAAUUAAUGGAAAUAUUUUAGC